UCGAGCUCCGUCCGACGGGGCGGCUCGCCAGCUUCGGGGAGGAGCUGAGCUGCUGCAGGACGCUGCCCGACCGCCGAGACUCCGUCUUUACUCCCGGGCAUCCCUCCCAAGCCUGGACUGCGAGCUGCCGGGCCCAGCCAUUGCAGCUUCCCCGCUGGGCACAACAGAAGCACGUCGGCUGAUCCCCUCCAACGCGUGUAAAGACAAGCGAUAAUAAUAUCCAGGGGGAGAGUAUCAAGAGAACUGAGCAUCAAACCCAUCUGACUCCACUAUUUCUUCUCGAAAUAGUGAUUGUGAUGAGGAGAAAAUUGUGAAGAAGCGAAUGGGUGCAAUUGGGAAACUUACCCAGAGUCCAUGACGGUGUGUCUGUCUAAUGAACGACCCUGGCUGUUGUGUGACAACCAUUUUAGUUUUAUUACUGGUGGUGAUACUGCUUUUCAACCUUGGCUUCUAAUGUGAGGAAAAACACGCAAUGACAAGUGUGGAAAAGAGCAAGCACUAAAUUACUGUCAGAAAAAUAAACGCAGUAGCGCGCUGCUGCACGGUGAUUUACGGGGGCAAUUAGCCACCACCCCACAGAGCUGCUGAGGACAGCACUGCUGCCUGCAGAAGUGUCAGGCAAAGAGGAAGAGGAGCUUUGGCUUUGCCUUUCCAGACAACUUUUCACAAAACAAGAGGGCGAUGGGGGAGGGCAGCAUAUGCUGUAGCACGUCCUCGCUCCGUGUGUACCUAACCCCCCCCCCCACACACACACAC